GACGAACGCUGGCGGCGCGCUUAACACAUGCAAGUCGAACGGAAAGGCCUGCUUUCCCUUGUGGAUUGCGGGUACUCGAGUGGCGAACGGGUGAGUAACACGUGAGUGAUCUGCCCCCAACUUGGGUAUAAGCCUGGGAAACUGGGUCUAAUUCCCGAUAGGACUGCAGGGUGGUGCCUGUGGUGGAAAACGAUUUUCUAGUGGUUGGGGAUGAGCUCGCGGCCUAUCAGCUUGUUGGUGGGGUAAUGGCCUACCAAGGCGGCGACGGGUAGCCGGCCUGAGAGGGUGGACGGCCACAUUGGGACUGAGAUACGGCCCAGACUCGUACGGGAGGCAGCAGUGGGGAAUAUUGCACAAUGGGCGGAAGCCUGAUGCAGCGACGCAGCGUGGGGGAUGACGGCCUUCGGGUUGUAAACUCCUUUCGACCGCGAGGAAGCCACCUGGUUGGAAGGGUGGUGACGGUAGUGGUAGAAGAAGCACCGGCUAACUACGUG
rnacentral:rRNA from 1 species